CUGCUCCGCACAGCUGCAGGGAUGAGCCAACGACAGAGGACGUACAGGACAGCUGCUGAAAUCACCGUCACUGCCAACACACUCCACGGCAUCCUGUGAAAGAGAGAGAGACGUGCACAAAGAGAAUAAACGAUUAAGGCAUCGUUGUCCUCAUCACAGAACAACAAACUCCAUGCUAACCAGUCAGAUUUCAAGAGAGGUCACUCAACGGAGACUGCUCUGCUCUCAGUCACUGAAGCCUUGCGGAUUGCUAAAGCUGAUUCCAAAUCAUCGGUUAUUAUUCCACUGGAUCUACCAGCUGCUUUCCACAAUGUCAAUCAUCAGAUCCUCCGGUCCACCCUCUCCUCUCAUCUCUGGGCAUCACCGGGAUUCGCUGGUCUGAGUUCGCUGUCUGUUUGCCUCUUUAAAAUGAAUCGCUUUAUGUAUUCCCCAUUCGUAAAAGUUCACCCCAAAAUAAAAAAUGCUGCCAUCAUU